UACGUAGGUGACAAGCGUUGUCCGGAUUCAUUGGGCGUAAAGGGUGCGUAGGCGGCGCGGUAAGUCGGGUGUGAAAUCUCGGGGCUUAACUCCGAAACUGCAUUCGAUACUGCGGUGCUUGAGGACUGGAGAGGAGACUGGAAUUCAUGGUGUAGCAGUGAAAUGCGUAGAGAUCAUGAGGAAGACCAGUGGCGAAGGCGGGUCUCUGGACAGUUCCUGACACUGAGGCACGAAGGUCAGGGGAGCAAACGGG
rnacentral:rRNA from 1 species